GCUCCCUGCCUGGCUGCUGCGAGUCAUUCCUGUGGCCCUGGGGGAAGGCUGAGCUCUCUGUCUGCCUGGGUGUCGUGGCCCUCCCUGUAGUCGGGGCGCGGGCCUGGAGCCUGCGUGCUCAGCUGGCAGCCGGUUUGGGGCGACCGCCCCGUUAGCGGGGCCCAGGUCAGAGUGCCCCUGCAUGGGAGAGAAGGAGCCUCCCUCCGCCGCGGGGCCCCGGGCUGCCCUGUAGCUCGGGGACUGGCCUGUGCCCUGGGGCCCCUGGCCUUAGGCAGUUGGGGCAGUGGCCCCGGCCCCCUGUAAGCAGGGCUGAAGCCUCCUGGGCCACCGCUCUCCAUGCCCAGCUCCAUUUGCCCAGAGUGCCCGCCUCUGACCCCCGCUGCAGCUUCAAUCAAGACCGCUGGACACCUCGUCAGCUGGAGGCCGUGCAGUGGGCAGCGGCUGCUGCUCACAGAGAAGCAAGAAGAGGAGUCGUGAGGAGCGGCGAGUCAAGAGUGAGCCUGAAGAGAGGAUGAGGAAGAUGGAAGAGAAAGCUCACGGAGAAGCAAGAAGAGGAGUCGUGAGGAGCGGCGGGUCAAGAGUGAGCCUGAAGAGAGGAUGAGGAAGAGAGAAGAGGAGGGAGGAGAAAGGCACUCUGGGCAAAGGGACCGCCCUGGCAGCAGGGCUGUGGUCACGUAAGAGCAUGGCUGGCACCUUUGGUGCCCUUGCUCCCUUUGCGCUGGGCGACCUCCCUGUAAGCAGGGCUCGGGUCUUUGCUGUUGUUGGCCUUUUGCCAUGUUGCUCCUUGGCUGCCUGGAGAGAGGGACGAGCCUGUAAGGAGGCUGCGAGUCCCUUUCUCCGCCCCUGGGGGGACAGGGAGCUCACCGGAACCCAGGCCCGCCCUGUAAGCAGGGCCGGGCUCUUUGCCCCCCGCGGCUUUCCGCCUGCCGGCCCCUGGCCGGCGCCACCCCUGCGCUCGGGGUGUGGGCCAGCAUUGGCCCUUUGGCGCCCCGUGAAGCCCCUUGGCAUGUUGAGUGCUCCGGCCUCCAUGCAGCCUGGGGGCAGGCCUGAGCCUCUCCUCCCGCUCCUGGGUACGGACCGGGCCCCCGACGUUGGCUGGCUGCCCUGGGCUCCCUUUCUCUCCUGGAAAGCCGUGUUACAUGUCUCCUGUCUGCUGUGCUUGUCCCUUCCCUCUUGUCCUCUGUCCUGUUGGGAGUGAGUGAGCUAGCGAGUGAGCUUGUCCUCUAGGCCUCUGUAAAAAGCGCUGCAGCGUAUUAGCUUUGGCUUCCCAGGCCUGAAAGAAGGGCUCUGGGCAGUAGCAGAGGGGUCCCGUCUCGGGCCCAGAUUUGAGGAGGGGGAGAGUUCCGGCUUGCCCCUUCCUCCCCCGGGCAGAGCGGAGCCACUUGGUAAUGGUGUGGGCGAGGGGACCUGCCCGUAGUCGGGGCCCAGG